CACGCCACUGGGGGGUGGACCGUGAACACAUCCGCAGGUUAUUAAGGAGCAGGUAGGGGUGAGACAGUAAAGAGACCGGUCAUUAAGGAGCAGAAAAGGGGUGAGACAGUACAGAGACAGGUGAUCAAGAAGCAGAUAGGGGCUAAAUAGUACAGAGACAAGUUAUUAAGGAGCAGGUAGGGGUGAGACAGUAAAGAGACCGGUCAUUAAGGAGCAGAAAAGGGGUGAGACAGUACUGAGACAGGUGAUCAGGAAGCAGAUAGGGGCUAAACAGUACAGAGACAAGGAAUUAAGGAGCAGGUAGGGGUGAGACAGUGAAUACAGUGACAGGCCAUUAUGGAGCAGGUAGGGGUUAGACAGUUGAAACAGACACCGGUUCUUAAGGUGCAGGUAGGGGUCAGACAGCAGAAACAGAACAAUAAUUUAGGAGUGGAUUCUCACAUUUUCCCUCCAUGAACUUGGGGAUGUAGGAGUCCCAGGGACCGGGCUCCGGCUGGGUCAGGUUCAUGCGGUCGAAGUGGAAGUAGCUGACCAGGUUGUCCUUGGCGUUGCGAGCCACGUAGAUGGUCUGGGAUCAGAGGAGCCAGAGGUGAGGAGAGGGUGAGGAACAUCUCCCCUCCACAGGGAACAUCUCCAAAAGGUGCAUUCGCAACCACCCCACAGCAUACGGGGGUAAAACACCUCACAACUAUUCAUAAUCUACAAGGUACAAGAUUGUUUAUUGUCAUAUACACAAUGGAAACAUAGUUUGCACUGGGCAAUGAAAUUCUUUGCAAAAAAAUGUGCAAGUUCCCUUCGCACAAAAUAUACUUAAAAUAUAGUAGAUGAAUAAACUAAACUACUAAAAAAAUCUGGACAAAGAGCAGAACAAAGCUAAAGGUAUCCCAGUAACACACCGCAUCAAGGGGCGGAGUCAUGAGUGAUAACAACUUUGACACAACUACAACGUCAUUGUACUCCUACUCUACUUCUGACUUCUCCACUAUCACAGUUUGAGGAUAGGGAGAAACGACUUAUAGCGUUGGACGGUUUUCUGAAGACUCAGCAUAUUUCUCUAGCUUACAUUUAUAAUGACCCCACAACACAUUGAGGCAGAUUUUUACAGAUCCUGGGGAUCCCUCGUGAGUUUAGAGUUAAAAUGUCAAACGGCAUUUGAACUACACUAUGUCAGUUUAGCUGCACUGUGAGUAUAGGCUUAAACUUACCUUGCAUUUGUUCUUCCAGAAUCCCUGAGGGACCAGCUGGAAGGGAAGGUGGGUCUUAAUGACCCUUGGGGGGGGCAUCUCCUUCAAAAGGUCCAGACCUAGACCACAUCAUCAACAUCAUCUUCAACAUCAUCAUCAUCAUCAUCAUCAUCAUCAUCAUCAUCAUCAUCAUCAUCAUCAUCAUCAUCCUCCUCCUCUCUCUUCAUCAUGUCAGUAUACUCUGCUUUUCUCUCAAUUCACA